UUUAGUCAUGGCUCAGGAUGAACGCUAGCGGCAGGCCUAACACAUGCAAGUCGAACGGUAACAUAGAGGAGCUUGCUUUUCUGAUGACGAGUGGCGCACGGGUGCGUAACGCGUAUACAAUCUACCUUUUACAGGGGGAUAGCCUUUAGAAAUGAAGAUUAAUACCCCAUAGUAUAUAUUUAUGGCAUCAUAUUUAUAUUAAAGUUUCGGUGGUAAAAGAUGAGUAUGCGUUCUAUUAGCUAGAUGGUGUGGUAACGGCACACCAUGGCAACGAUAGAUAGGGGCCCUGAGAGGGGGAUCCCCCACACUGGUACUGAGACACGGACCAGACUCCUACGGGAGGCAGCAGUGAGGAAUAUUGGACAAUGGAGGCAACUCUGAUCCAGCCAUGCCGCGUGCAGGAAGACUGCCCUAUGGGUUGUAAACUGCUUUUAUACAGGAAGAAACCGCUCUACGUGUAGAGCUCUGACGGUACUGUAAGA
rnacentral:rRNA from 1 species